rnacentral:tRNA from 1 species
UGGCUCAGUUGGUAGAGCAUGGUGUUUGCAACGCCAGGGUUGUGGGUUCGAUGCCCAC